UUGUCAAAAUUUUUCCAAGUGCUAAGCAUGGGUGGACAGUGAGAUACAAUGUUGAAGACAAAGAGGCAGUGCAGCAAGCUGAAGAAGCCCACCAGGACAUGUUGGAUUGGCUUACCAAGCAUGUCAAGUACAGUCAGAAGGGAAGUGGACUUACCAGUGUCCGAGGUCCCCGUUCCUCUAUGUGACAUGACUAUUCUUAAAUGACACAAGCAAACAACUACAACGAAUUUGAAGUUUGCUUCAUUAGUAUUCCACUCACUUUCAGCGUGGCGAUUCUACUGUAGAGUUAUGUUUGGCUCCAUAAACGAGACAUGAGAUGUUCAAUCUAAAUCUACUCAUGACCGUGUACCAUCACCAAGUUGUUGGGCAUGUACUUCCCAACUUGUUGAUUGGCCUUAAAAUGAUUCUUAAGUUGGGUGUACAAUCUGACAAAAAUGUUCAGAAACUUGUAGAUAAGUCAAAUAGCCAGGAACUAGGGCGGAGCUUCCCUUGUCCAAGUGAGUCAAUUGGUACUUCUUCACUGGAAUAUUACACGGUGUAGAUAGGUUAAUUCCUUUUUAGAUGUAUACAUACUAUACAUUGAAUUCCUUUUACAUUGUGUGUUGUCUUUUUUAUAUUUUAAAC